rnacentral:rRNA from 1 species
CGUGAUAGCUGGUUCUCUUCGAAAUGCAUUUAGGUGCAGCGUCACGUGCUGAUGCGCGGGGGUAGAGCACUGACAAGGCUAGGGGGCACACCCGCUUACCAAACCUUAUCAAACUCCGAAUACCGUGCAAUGGAACGUGGCAGUGAGACAGUGGGGGAUAAGCUUCAUUGUCGAGAGGGAAACAACCCAGACCAGCAGCUAAGGUGCCUAAAUAACGCUCAGUGGAAAGGAUGUGGGAUUACACAGACAGUGAGGAUGUUGGCUUAGAAGCAGCCACCAUUUAAAAAAUGCGUAAUAGCUUACUCAUCGAGUGAUCCUGCGCCGAAAAUGAUUGGCGAUCAAGCGUUAUACCGAAGCUCUGGACUUUGCCGCAAGGCAGAGUGGUAGAAGAGCGUUGCAUGCGCGUCGAAGGGCGAUGGCGACUGACCCUGGAGCACAUGCAAGUGAGUAUGCAGACAUGAGUAACGUUAAGCCGGGUGAAAUCCCCGGCCGCCGUAAACCCGAGGUUUCCAGGGCAACGUGUUUCGUCCCUGGGUUAGCCGGGACCUAAGCCGAGGCCGAGAGGCGUAGGCGAUGGACAUCAGGUUAAUAAUCCUGAGCUCGCAACCCUUAAACUGGGGGGACGCAUGAGAAAAGAUGACUAGGUUAUUGAAUUCCGAGUUGAGUCUACGGACUCAGCGCAUCAUUGGAUCGAGUGCCAAGAAAAGCCCCAGCGUAUGCUAAGCGACCCGUACCGCAAACCGACACAGGUGGGUGGGUAGAAUAUACCAAGGCGUAAGAGUGAAACCUGGUUAAGGAACUCGGCAAAUUAGCCCCGUAACUUCGGAAGAAGGGGUGCCUGCAGCGAUGCAGGCCGCAGAGAAAUGGCCCAACCGACUGUUUAUCAAAAACACAGCACUCUGCAAAGACGCAAGUCGAAGUAUAGGGUGUGACACGUGACCAAUGCCGAAAGAUUAAGGCAAGGGGUUAGCCGCAAGGCGAAGCUCUAAACCCAAGUCCCGGUGAAUGUCGGCCGUAACUAUAACGGUCCUAAGGUAGCGAAAUUCCUUGUCGGGUAAGUUCCGACCUGCACGAAUCGUGAAACGAGUUGGGCACUGUCUCAACCAGGCGCUCAGUGAAAUUGUAGUGGCGGUGAAGAUGCCGCCUACCCGCAGAAGGACGGAAAGACCCUAUAGACCUUAACUGUAAGCUGUCAUUGUUUCUUCGGUUUUAAUGCUCAGAGUAAGUGGGAGACGCUGAAGACGCCCUUUAGGGGGCGUCCGAGUCAUCAAUGAGACACCACCCUUUGAAACUGGAGGAUCUAACCCUGAGCCGUGAAUCCGGCCAGAGGACCGUGUCAGCCGGUCAGUUUUACUGGGGCGGUAUCCUCCCAAAGAGUAACGGAGGAGCGCGAAGGUGGGCUCAGCCCGGUUGGCAACCGGGUGUCGAGUGCAUGGGCAUAAGCCCGCCUAACUGUGAGACCAACAAGUCGAGCAGAUGCGAAAGCAGGCCCAAGUGAUCCGGCGGUAGAAAGUGGAAUUGCCGUCGCUCAACGGAUAAAAGGUACCUUAGGGAUAACAGGCUGAUCACGCCCAAGAGUUCAUAUCGACGGCGUGGUUUGGC